UAUUUCCUUCACCAUAUAUCUGACACAAAUUCUAGAACUCUCCCUAUCUUUCUGAAGCACUGUUCUCUUAGUAUAUCCGUUCUUCUUCUCUAAUUUUAGAUAUCAAGGAUGUUGCUAUAUUAUUCCUGUAGAGCCAUGCUGGGAUAAUAGUAGUUAAGAUCUAAAUGGAACCAUUGCUCAAUGCAAGAUUAAUCAGGGUAGGAGCUUGCUUUCAAGAGAAACUGCAGUAAAUGGAGAAUAGAAAGAACUUUCUCUCUUACACAAAUUCUUGAAGAAGUCCGCCCAUGUACCCGAUUCUGUUAAAUAGAAUAGAAGUACCUAUGGUUUUUUCUCAGUUGUUGAAGUCCGUUCUUUUCAAAAAGUACUGGCGCAUCUGGAACAAGAAUUUUGAGGUGUAUUUGGAAGAGCAAAACAACACCAAAGUUAAUUUUCUUGGAGUGGACUACAUGUCAUAAUGACCUAACUCGAGCAAACCUUUCACAUGCUGGUGAAAUCAUAUGCUUAAGAUGUUAGGUGUGCUUAAAGGAAGCUGAAGUCCAUUUGUUCUUCCAUGUAUCAUUGUUUCUUAGCUUUAUUGCAUGUUCUUGGAUUAUAGAAGUAACAAUAGCUGGAUGGGCAAGAAAGUAAAGACCAUGUCAAAAACAUAUGGAAUACAAUUCCGACCUGCAUUUUUUAAGUAGUUUUAUGUGCAAUAAAACUUUGUAUUUACCUACCAAAAGAAAAUCAUGAAACUCUUAAGAAUGUGUUGAACACAUGAUUAUAUUUUUUCAAGGAAGUUGACCCAUCACAUAUUUCCUACACUUUGUUGUUGUAAAUUUUCAAUUUUUGUAGGUUCUUAUCACCGUAAGAUAUUAGAAAUUAUCUCCCAUUUGCAAUGUGAAUAUUUUGUUAAAUCCUUCUACUCUAUUGUAGUUUUUCAGUUUGGUAUCUUUUGUUGGGCAAAAGAAGCCAAAUGACCAUCCCAAAGAACAGUUCUAAAAUCUUAUUCAAGAUUUGCAACGUUGGGCCCGCGAGUGCCUCAUCUAGUAUAUAUUUUAUAUAUAGAAAGGGCAAGUGUAGUCGACCAAGGGUAAAAUUGUCUUUAUACUCUCAGUCUAGAAUUGCAUUUUGGAUUUCCUUAUCUUUUCAAUCUGUCUUUUUAGCUUCAUUUGCCAUAAAACACAGUACUCCUACUCAGCAAGCCUAAGGUAAAUAUGACGGAGAUUUUCGUGACCCCGAACUAAUAACUGCAUCAAUACAUAGCAGGAAAAGGGAAGCCCUCAUACUGGAGCUUUCCUUCUGGAUGAUGAACAAGGCUGAUCCUAAUGUUGGGUCUGCUCAGAUAAAGAAAAGACCUUUGCGAGCUCAAAAGAAAAGAUUUGUUCAAAAGUAUUCACGAAAUUGUGUGAAUUUGCUACUGCUUUGUUUAUAGUGUUUCUUUAAGCAAACUUAAGGAAUCGGUUUGGGAGA